GCCAGUGUAGUGUAGUGGUUUGUGUUUUGGACUAUGACUCUGGAGACCAGGGUUCAAAUCCCCGUUCUGCCA